UCCUUCAUUUCUGAAAAAGCCCCUUCAUCACCAUGACUCCAUUCUUCAAAAUCACCAUUUGAUUCCUUUGUCUUCAAAUCGAGAGAAAAAGGUCUUCGUUCUUUAUUAUUUUAAGAAAAAAUUGUAUUCGAAAGUACCAUAUUGACCUUCACUUAAAUGAAAAAUUCCUCCACUAUCCUCAAUCCUCAACCUACGAAUUCGAACGAUUCUUUCACUGAUUCUCUCGCGUCGUCACUCGCCGUCGGCGCAACUGCUCCGAUCGAACAAACUCUCCUCUCUUUUCUGUAAGUUCAUCUCUCUCAUGUUCCUCAUUCCUUCCCCCCUUCGAUUUUUGACUCUUCCUCUCUAUUGUUUUGCUUUUGUUUUUGGGUAUGUCUUCUAAUUUUAGGGUUUUUAUUUUGGCGU
rnacentral:lncRNA from 1 species